rnacentral:misc_RNA from 1 species
GAUGAAGAACGCAGCGAAAUGCGAUAAGUAAUGUGAAUUGCAGAAUUCAGUGAAUCAUCGAAUCUUUGAACGCACCUUGCGCCCUUUGGCUAUUCUGAAGGGCAUGCCUGUUUGAGUAUCAUGAACACCUCAACUCUCAUGGUUCGCCAUGAUGAGCUUGGACUUUGGGGGUCUUGCUGGCCUACGGUCGGCUCCUCUCAAAUGAAUCAGCUUGCCAGUGUUUGGUAGAGUCGCAGGUGUGAUAACUAUCUACGCUUGUGGUUUUCUGCCAGAUAACCUUCAGUGAUGGAGGUUCGCUGGAGCUUAUAAAUGUCUCUCCCCAGUGAGGACAGCUUUUUGAAUGUUUGAUCUCAAAUCAGGUAGGACUACCCGCUGAACUUAAGCAUAUCAAUAAGCGGAGGA